AUUGAACGCUGGCGGCAGGCUUAACACAUGCAAGUCGAGCGCGUGGCGGACGGGUGAGUAAUGGUUGGGAAACUGCCUAAUGGAGGGGGAUAACUACUGGAAAAGGUAGCUAAUACCGCUUACCGUCAUAUCUGCUCAGGUUGGAUUAGGUAGUAGGUGUGGUAAUGGCUCACCUGGGCGACGAUCCCUAGCUGGUCUGAGAGGAUGACCGGCCACACUGGGACUGAGACACGGUCCAGACUCCUACGGGAGGCAGCAGUAGGGAAUAUUGGGCAAUGGGCGCAAGCCUGAUGCAGCCAUGCCGCGUGUGUGAAGAAGGCCGUCGGGUUGUAAAGCACUGUUGGUGGGGAGGCGUUACCUGCAGAAGAAGCACCGGCUAACUCCGUGCCAGCAGCCGCGGUAAUAC
rnacentral:rRNA from 1 species